AGGAGCCCGGUGCUAAACUAUCGAAUCCAGCCCAUUUGCUUCCUCUUGUGGCCGACUCCGUAGACAGAGACGGCCAAACCCACUUGGACAGAACAAAACCCUUGUUGGUCAGUGCUCUUCUCGUCGUCCUUCCAGGUGUCUCUCUCUCCAUUUUUCACUAGCGUUUGUCCAAUCUCAAACCCCAAUUGCUUGUUCAAGAAGCUUCUUUUUGGCUUCCAAAAUGGCCACUAUUAUACUCAUGAGAAACUAGCUUUCUGUGCUUGAAAAACGUUUCUUGGUAACAUCUUCUGUUGCUCUUUCUAGUCCUACCUCUACACUACCCACCAGUUUCUCUUCGCCGUCAUUUACAGUUCAAUUUCUCUACAAUUCAUGUGGGCUUCCCUUAAAAUCAUCUCUUUCGGUUUCUAAGAAGUUCCAAAUGGAUGAAAGGAAACUCCGAAUUUGUACUUGAGUUCUUGAAAGCUCACAACUUCAGCGACACCCAGAUCACCCAACUGAUCCAGAAUAAUCCCCAAAUCCUCCAAAGCAGAGUAGAAAGCAAUAUCAAGCCGAAGUUCGACUUCUUCGUUAAACAUGGGUUAGUGGGCCAACUUCUGCCUGAGCUUAUUGUGUCAAAACCAUUUUUUUUUUACAAAACCUAUACAUUCUUAAAUUAAGCCAUGUUUUGGGUUCUUGAAGUCAUUUCUUGGUUGUACUGGGAAAAUUGUCGUGGCUCUUAGCGUUCUCCAUGGCUGUUUACGUAUAAUGUGAAAGGUAUUAUGCAACCAAAUAUUGAUUUGUUGAUAAAAGAGGGAGUGACUUUUGACAGGAUAGCAAAACUGAUUAUCUCACAAAUAGGAGGCAUACAGCAAAAGCAUUCUAGGAUGGUCUAUACUGUGAAUGCUCUUAAAAACUUGAGCAUUGAACCAAAGACUCCCUUGUUUAUACAUGCUCUUAGAGUGAUGUUACAAACAAGCGACUUCACUUGGAAGACGAUAGUUGGAGUGUUGAACAGUUUGGGUUGGACUGUGGAGGAAAUUAUAAAGGCUUUUAAGCAUGAUCCCCUUAUUUUGGGAUGUUCAGAGGAGAAGAUCAGGGAUGUCAUGGAUUUUUUUGUGGUUACCUUGAGAUUGAAACCUCAAACUGUUAUUACGAACUCCUGGUUCCUUCAUUACUGAAUUGAUAAAAGGCUCCGUCCAAGGUACAAUGUUUUGAAGACUUGGAAGUCAAAGAAUCUGAUUGAUGGGGACAUCAGGAUUGCGUGGCUGUUAAGGCUGCUAACAUCAUUGAGUGAGAAGAAAUUCUUGGGAAACUUUGUUACUUAGUAUGUAGACAGUGUCCCAGGUUUAUUAGAGGCACAUAAGGGUAUCGGCAAGGCUGUAAAGACCGAUACGUGAUGGCAAAGAAAGUCAUGAAGAACUUAUAUCGGAGGAUAAAUUCUGCUGGAGUAUGUCUAUAGCUUGGAAGAAAAUGUAAUACUGAGGAGCAGUUUACGAUUCAGUUCUCUUUGGGAAGAAUUUGAAUGAUAUUUAUGCCUUUGAUUUUGAAACAGGGUA